rnacentral:rRNA from 1 species
UACAGAGGGGCAAGCGUUAUUCGGAAUUAUUGGGCGUAAAGGGCGCGUAGGCGGCUUGGCAAGUGGAAGGUGAAAUCCCUCGGCUUAACCGAGGAACUGCCCUCCAAACUGCUUUGCUUGAGGCCGGGAGAGGCGAGUGGAAUUCCGUGGAUGUAGCGGUGAAAUGACGCAGAUAUCAGGAGGAACACCGAUGGCGAAGGCAGCUCGCUGGGACGGUACUG